UACCAGCUCUCCGAGUGGUGUGGAUGUUUAUUGGGCCUAAAGCAUCCGUAGCUGGCUGGACAAGUCCCCUGUUAAAUCCACCGAUUUAAUCGUUGGUGUGCGGGGGAUACUGUUCGGCUAGGGGACGGGAGAGGCCGACGGUAUUUCCGGGGUAGGGGUGAAAUCCUAUAAUCCCGGGAAGACCACCAGUGGCGAAGGCUGUCGGCUAGAACGCGCCCGACGGUGAGGGAUGAAAGCUGGGGGAGCGAACCGGAUUAGAUACCCGGGGUAGUCCCAGCUGUAAACGAUGCAGGCUAGGUGUUUGGGCGGCCACGUGCCGCUCUAGUGCCGCAAGGAAGCUGUUAAGCCUGCCGCCUGGGGAGUACGGCCGCAAGGCUGAAACUUAAAGGAAUUGGGCGGGGAGCACCACAAGGGGUGAAGCUUGCGGUUU
rnacentral:rRNA from 1 species